ensembl:lncRNA
UCUCUUUUGGAAUUCUCAGGGUGUCAUUCUUCCAACUUUACUGAUGAGGAAACCAAGCCCAGGGGGUAAGGGAUAAUAUGUCCAGAGAAAGUAAAGGAAACAGGAAAAGAAACAGGGAAGUAAAGGAAAGGGGAUUCAAACAGAGGCCUGCUGAGGAUCCUGUCAUGCCAUGCUGAAAGAUGACCCACUGGUGCCUUCACGUCUCAUCUCAUGUAUCAAUCUACACAAACUUACAGAGUGGACAACAGAAGAUGAGGAAACUAAAGUUUGGUGAGGCAAAGCAAGUUGCCCAAGAUCAACACCCAGGACAUGGGAGAGCAGGAUUGCAAUCUGGCCGGCUAGCCCUGGAGCCCACACUCCCGAAAACCACAGUUGGCUCUCUUGCUGCUAUCUCUGUUGGUCUUCCUGCUUCGUGUCCCUCCUUCAGGAGCCAAGGUAAGGGAACUUAGACCCCGAGAGCUUCUGUGACUUAGCAGUGCAUCGCAGAUACACCCGCCAACAACUGCCACAGAACGAGCAACCUCAACAUCUCAAUGUUGCAAGAUAAUAAGCAUUUCUUCUGCCCUCACCAGUCCAUGGGUUGGUUGCAGGGGCCUUCCUGUACAUGUCUCAUCCUUAGCCUGGGACAUCAGACCAGCCAGGGCACGUUCUCUCCAAGCAGGUGUAGGGGCACUCAAGCCCAUGGCAAAGCACACUUCAAGCUCCUGCUUGCAUCACAUCUGCCAACUCCUACAUUGUGGGGAUGCACUAUUGCGCUCUCAAUUAAGGCUUUGGGCUCUUCAGGAGAAAAGAGACUCAUGCAUAUCAGCUCAACAGUAGUACGCAUUCCACUGAGACUGCUUUUGGGUACAAGUACCCAGAGAAUGGACCGCAUGGGGUUGUACCAGCGUUUACUAGGUGCUGUUCCAAUCUGCCUCCCUGCCCUGACUGGUGAACUCUCAGCUUCCUCCAUUCCCUGCCUCCUGGCAAGCAGAGGGGAAAGAUGAUCCCCGAUUGUAGAAAUCCAGGAGGCGUGGCAAGGUGGCUUUUUGGCGGGCUCGUAAAUUGCCAAGUGGAUUAUGGAGGAUAGAUAAGCCGGAAGACGCCAGGCACAGCUUGGAUGUAUUUCAUUUCUGAUCACACCGGAAUGGAGCAAGAAUUAUGGACAAAGUGCAUAGACCCAAGCAGCCAUGCUUGAUCAUUUACACCCCUCGCUGUCAUUUUUAAUCUGCGGUGUCUGUUCUCUCCAACCCCGAAAACACCAAACCCGGCCUCUUGAAGAACCUCUUCACUCGAGUCUUUCUCAAUAUGUCGAGCCUUUCUCAAUAUUUGGCAUGGUUCCCAUGGGAGCUUCCCCACACUGUGACCCUGCUGUGGGGACUAAACACGAGAAUGAGUCUGGUGGAGGGGGCACUUGACAUCUGGUUUGUAAAUUAACAUCAACCACAUGUGCAUGUGCCCAUAUCCACACUCCUUUCUCCAAAGCCCCAUCACAUUUUAGAGAUAAAAAUGAGUUGGGAGCAUAAGCUUUUGGGUCAUGUGGAAUUGAACUGGAAUAUUAAUCCCAACACUUACAAAUGGUGGGAGUUUGGAGGGGACAUUUAAUCUCUUUCAGCCUCAGUAUCCUUAUUUGUAAAUGGGCUAAUGACAUCUACCUUAUGGAGUUGUUGGACAUGUGGGGUUGUGUCCAUGAUGAGAACAUGCAUCUGACACUUGGUAGAGUUCAUGGUACCUAGUUAAGACUUUAAGCAUGACAGUUAUUAUCAUGGUUAUUGUCCAGACACAAGAUGAUGGACCUGCUCCCUGAGGCCAACUGAGAUGCGUCCAGGCUUAGAUUCACAGAGUCCAUGACUGGACACAGGUUGGAUGGAUGGAUGGAUGGAUGGAUGGAUGGAUGGACAAGUGGAUGGUUAGUUUUGUGGAUGGAUAGGUAGAUAAAUGCACAGGUGAAGGGCCAGGUGGUACAAUAUCUGAAUAGGCUCUAUUUUGGGCAAGAGAACAUCAAAG